UGGGUACUCACUGCAAUGGGACAAGUCCACAGAUGUUGCAGGACUUUCAAUUUUGUUGGUUUUUGUUAGAUAUAAUUUUCACAAACAGAUUGAAGAAGACUUGCUUCUGUGUGAAACUUUGAAAACUCAUACCACUGGUGAGAACAUCUUUAACUGUAUCCAGACAUUCAUGAGCACACAGUUUAAAUUGGGACAAAUGUGUAGAUGUGUGCAGUGAUGGUUCCAAAGCAGUGGUUGGAAAUGUGGCAGGCGCUGUGACACAAAUAAG